ACCUUCCUUGUCUUGGGGUGGCUUGGGCUGUUCAAUGAACGUCUAGUGAGAACAUCCCUGCUAACACCUAACCAACACAACCAGCAUCACCUGAGCAGUUUCUGCUCAGGCUAUGGUGCAAUUUUUGGAACC